GUUAGGAAUAUUGGACAAUGGGCGCAAGCCUGAUCCAGCCAUGCCGCGUGAACGAUGAAGGCCUUCGGGUUGUAAAGUUCUUUAGCCGAUGAUUAUAAUGACUGUAGUCGGAAAAUAAGCCCCGGCUAACUUCGUGCCAGCAGCCGCGGUAAUACGAAGGGGGCGAGCGUUAUUCGGAAUCACUGGGCGUAAAGCGUGCGUAGGCGGUCUCGUAAGUUAGGAGUGAAAGCCCAGGGCUCAACAUUGGAAUUGCUCUUAAUACUGCAAGGCUAGAAUCUCGGAGAGGAUAGCGGAAUUUCCAGUGUAGCAGUGAAAUGCGUAGAUAUUGGAAGGAACACCAGUGGCGUAAGCGGCUAUCUGGACGAGUAUUGACGCUGAGGCACUAAAGCGUGGGGAUCAAACAGGAUUAGAUACCCUGGUAGUCC
rnacentral:rRNA from 1 species